GGGGGCGUAGCUCAGCGGUAGAGCAGGGGACUCUUAAUCCCUUGGUCGAGAGUUCGAUUCUCUCCGCCCUCA
rnacentral:tRNA from 1 species